GGUUCCAGACAUUUCCAAAGGGUCACCAUUGAAGGUGUUAGUGAGUCCCUAAUUUCUAGCAUGGGCGUAUAAAUAUUCCCACAUUCCACGCCACUUGUACCAAAGCGUCUGUCUUCCACGACCGUGGAAAAGGAAGUUGAUAUUGCAGGUCCGGAGCUCUAGAUAUUUAAGAAUCAAGACAUUCUUCUGCGUGUAAUUAUUGUAAGCGACUGGGGGAAAGAAGGCUGCUCAAGACAAACCGUGAAAGGGUCCUGUGAUGGGCAUAAAAUGGACUACGCCAGGGGUGCUGUCCAUAUUCUGGGAAGCCACAGUCUAGGAAAAGGAGGGUGAAGCAAUGCACUGCAUUGUUUUCAAUGCGAUGCAGAACGGGCUAAAGAAUUCAAGAAAGGAGAUGAGGCAGAUGUCCAAGGACAAUCAAAGGGAGAAGAAAGUUUAAGCCAACGUUUGCCUAUCUCAUAUUCUCUGCUUGAUCCUCAGCCUCGACAGUGCACAGCUGUUACAUUUCAAGGUCCAGAGGCUGCCCCCCGCCUCCCCCACACCCCCUUGCUUAUUCUCCGAGAGCGACCGCUCAGCGUUCCUGGCCGGCCCCCCUUACAGGUCCCCUCACUGGGAAGGCUGGCCCUUCCCGGUGCCUUUACAGUUUUCUCAACACUCUGAAUGUUUGGGGCGGAAUUCCAUAGGGUGUGAUAAUCACAGGAUUCGGGACUGAAAAACCUCUACAGGUCAACCCUAAACAGGCCAGCCGAUCGGGAGACAAGAUAUGCUCUGGCCAAAGCGGUGUGUUCGUGGAGGUAAGAAAUCAAGUACACAGUGAAGACAAGAGGGGCAAUCCACGUGAAAUCUGAACGUUGUGGGGUUCCUCGGAGAGCUGUCGACAUUCCCUCGCGUUGUUUAAAUAAAUAUAAGGAAUGCGGGAGUAACGAUUGGAGUACAAAGGCCCGUUAUGGAUAAACAGAUAAUACGCAAGGGGACUGAGGUCCCUAGCACAUUGGCGUGUUGUGUGUGUCUUGCGGGGGGAAGCGAGGGGGCUUCUUGUCUCGCCAUCGCUAAGACCCUUCAAGUCCCCCCGCGCAACCCUACGCUUACUCGCUAAAACCCUUUAUUGUCCUACUUGACACGGCACAUAGAGAAAACGGACAAUCCUUUCACGUUGCUAACCAGCCUCGGAAGCGAAUUAAACGGUAGAAUCUUCUCGAAGGAGGAGCCUGGGUGAUUGCCCAAACUGUUAUACGUGCCGUCCCUCCGCUGAUGAAGAGCAACACAAAUGUUCAUGUUAAAGAAAAAAAAAAAAAAAAGAAAAGAAAGGAAAUUCAAGAUUUUCCCUCGGAAGACCUUCCCGGGAAAACUUAAGCACUGCUUGGUAUUUUGUGUGGACCCUCACCUCUGAUAAGUGAUACGCACUCGUCCUACCGAAUUCUAAUGAUUUGAUGAAAACAACCCUAGCGCCGGUCCGUGCCCAGAAGCCUCUGGAAAGAUGUGCUGUGCUCUCUUACGGGCCUCGGUACGUCUGGAGCCAGGAUAUAGUAUGUGCUCAGUGUGUUUAUCGAUCAAAUAAAUGAAAGGAAGACAUGAACGAAGGCAAUGAGUACUUAAUUGCAUGCCAAACCCAUUGAA